GGACAGGUUUUUUUUAAAACCAAACAUAUUUUUAUCAAAUUUUAA
rfam:Ailuropoda melanoleuca scaffold1692_4, whole genome shotgun sequence.